GAUGAACGCUGGCGGCGUGCCUAAUACAUGCAAGUCGAGCGAACGGACGAGAAGCUUGCUUCUCUGACGUUAGCGGCGGACGGGGGAGUAAAACGUGGAGAACCUACCUAUAAGACUGGGAUAACUUCGGGAAACCGGAGCUAAUACCGGAUAAUAUUUUGAACCGCAUGGUUCAAAAGUGAAAGACGGUUUUGCUGUAAAUUAUAGAUGAUCCCGCGCUGCAUUAGCUGGUUGGUAAGGUAACGGCGUACCAAGGCAACGACGCGUAGUCGACCGAGAGGGUGGAUCGCCACAACGGAAACGAGAAAAGGGUCCGACCUCCUAGGGAGGGAGGCGGGAGGAAAACUGCCGCAAGGGGCGAAAGCCUAAGGAGGCAACGCCGCGUGAGUAAUGAGGGUCUUCGGAUCGUAAAACGCUGUUAUUGGGAAAAAACAAAUGUGUAAGUAACUGUGCACAACUGAACGGUACCUAAGCAGAAGGCCACGGCUAACUACGG
rnacentral:rRNA from 1 species